UGUGACCGCUCCGUUUACUCCCGUUAUUUACAGCUGUGUGUUCAUUGCCUGCACAACGCGAUAACAUAUUUCACGAGACUUGACGUUUGUCAGACAUUGAGUUUGAGGUCAAAAGUGGAGGUAAGUUGAGUUAUGUUUAGGAGUGAGUGGACUUUCACGAGAAAGCUCGACAAACGUGUGUGUGGGAGACUCAUCCAUCUCUCUUAAUCUACGCAAUCCAUCUUUCUUUUUUUUUCUUUUUCUAAACACACAGCCUGCCUUGACCCUGAAUGUCCCAGAGAAACCGAGAGACAUGCCUCCCUGAGCAGUCUCCUUUGUCCCAUCAUGCUGCUUCUAUACACAUAUGCAUGCUGCAAGUGUGUUCAAUCACUUGAGUCAGUUUCUGGCUGACAGGUAAGUCCAUUCCGUCUUAACAUCCAGAUCUCAGCGAUUCCCGGUGUGCGGCCCCGCCAGAGCUGUUAAGAGUUUUCCCUUUGGCAAACGUCUGGCUUGUUUUCUGUCUUUCCACGAAAAAACCCUCCAAUCCAAACACGCAUGAACAGAUCCUCUUAAUGAUCGCCGCCAGGCGAGCACGGGAAAAAGCCAAGCGAGUAAACGUAGACUUGAAGAUCGAAUUUGGAAGUGUUGCCCGAACGGGGGAAAACAAAUCGGUCGACAAAUUGCGGGCUCAGAGUAACCGAGCGGCUUUCAGACGUCGGUAAUUCAUGUACAGGGUUCUUGAACCCUUCAACUAGUGAAAGAUUGGUCCCUCGACCUCCCGCGCAAACUUCUAGAAAACGCUCGUGACCAGUCCUGUCAGGCGGAGACACACCAGAGACAGACACCCUACACAUUUGCAGCACUGAUACGCCACGUGACAUCUCCUCAGAACACGUUCUGCUAACGCGCCGACCUUUCUGCCAGCGUUAAAGGCUUGAAUUUCCUCAUCAUAUUUCCAGAAGGCUAAAAGAAAAAGAUCAAUUCCAAUCUCUACGUACACAAUUUACACAUAGUUAAUUCACAGUCCAUGAGCUCACUGUACGAGUUGCACUUUUUUUGCCCGCUGAGAGAAAUUGUCUGAAAAAGAAUUCCUGCUGCCCCCAAAUGCAGCACCGACGCCCGGUGGGAGGAGAAGCGGCGCAGCGGGCGGCCAUUACACCACGGCAGCCAGUUUUGAUAUUUUGCAAUAAAAAUACAUUCCACUCUCUAAUUAAAGCCCUUAAACACAUUUGGCACGAACAAAUCUUUGACUGAGCAGUUCUGGAUUUCCUGCACACCGCUGUCUUCCAGCUCUUAACACCCACCUAUGGAAAAUAUCGACAAAAAGGGGAAACGCUGAUUAGAGCCAUGUGCACACGGCGCGCGUUUGGCCAUUAAAGCGUUCGUGCUCAGCGCGGCGCGACUAUCAAUGGCGGUUACAGCGGACGCGCGACCGUCGCACCUGGGUUUGAUCUCAGUCUUUGAGUCCAGAGUUCUGAAGUCACGGCGCCAAACUCCAAGACGUGAUCCCACCGAAGCCUGACGGGUCACUUUAGCCCAACUGUCCAAAAUGAAAUCCUCAUUCGCGACCUCGAAACUUUCCUCUUUUAUACACGUCUUUGUGUGUGUCUGGAAUGCACCGCUCCGUUUCUUCCCUCCUGCUGGAGUCUGUUUUUGAUUUCUGGGUCACUCAGCAUGGAAAGUAAUAAUCAUGAAACAUUACGCACGGCAUGAACUGCUGACAUUUCAGCCGGCUACGCUGACGCUACACUUGCGCCACGAGCCUGUGUUAUUUUUUUCUUCCAUCAGCGUGGCAUUGCAGAAGUCAACGGGGAAGCCGGGAGAAGUAGCAAAUGGCUGGUAGAAGGGUGAUGACAGCAAAUGAAGUGUGAGCGAUGGUGAAUAAACUACGACAACGGCCCCCUGCUGGACCGGGGUCAGGAGAUGAUGCAACCAGCUUUUUUUAUUUUAUUUUUUUAUCAAUCCACCAUAAGUAAACGUCUGACAGGCCCUGCUCCUCCAGUUGUGCACAUUCAAGAUGUGAGGGUGUCCGCUUUUUUCCCCCCGCCCGUCUGUGUAGUUUCCAUGCCCCUCAGAGAAAGUGUGAAAUCCGAAACGUCUUGCUGCUCCGCUCCAUCUGACGAGAUCAAGCUUCUUCUGAUCGCCAGAGCCGGCGCGCCGCUCUGUUGGAUUUUUGUUUGCACACAACAGCGGCAGGCUUGAAGCGGAGAUGUAAUCAGCGUCUGGUCACACAGACCCAUUUAAUGGCCAUUGCCUCCGAGUGCCACACGGCCAAGCGGCAUGAAGCGGGCUUUGUAGUCUGGUCUCCAGAGACGCGGGGUGGCCUGGGAGAGGAAAUGGAGACUGGGGGCCCAGAGAUUUGAUAAGGAGCCCUGGUUCAGCGUGGCUCCGAGUGAAUGGAGGCGUUGACCCGAGUCCGGGCCCGUCGUAAAAAACACCGCGAGGACGAUUUCGGGGCCAAAAUGACCUUACCCAGCAGAAUACCUGCUUUCCAAAAUACAUGGUGAAAGUUUCCGUUUCUUAUCAACAGCGCAGACCUGACACACCUUCCCUUUAAGAGCGGUUGUGUGUCAGAGCUCAACAGGAAAUGGAAAGUCUGUUAAACAGCGUGAGAGAGAGAGAGCAGAGAGCAGAGAGCAGGCUGGUUCACAGCGUUGUUCCUCUCUGCCUUGUCGACUGCUGGGAAGAGCCAGAAAUAAAAAGGACACUUACAUGCCAUAACUUAAAAAACAAUAUUUGUUUUUGAUGGCCCCCUAUUGGUGACACUCCACAGAGAGGUCAGGGUUCAGGGACGGCUGCGCGCCAGCACGCUCCUCUGGUUGAACUGUGAUUUCUUUGCGCUGCAUACAGAAUAUUGUUAUGAUUUUAAAUUUGCCCCGCAGUAUACGGACUUCUCUUCUACUAAUCAAAAACCCAAUUCAGGAUUGCAAGUUGUCAUCAUAUAUUAUACUAACACGCGCGCACACACACACACACAAACAAGCAAGCCAACCAACCUUGAGGUGUUGUAGCUGUAGCACCAGGUCAUCGAGCUGGCCUCUUUUGUCUUCGAUCUCCGUUUGCCGCUUUCGCUUCUCCUGGAAGACAACAGAAGUUAUAACAGUCAAUCAUCUGUUGAGAACAGGUCGUUUGAAAUCUACAAGUUUUAAUUGUUCCUCAUUGAUGCUGUCAGUAGUUUUUUUUAUUUUUAUCAAACGGCACAGAGGAAGAAAAUCUAGCUGACAAUAAGACGAGCGUGAUGAUCCACGAAUGCAUCCUGUGGACAACUUCUGCAGGGCAGGUUUCACAAUUUCUUUAAUUGGUGCAACACCAAAUCCCCACUACACUGUCCCUGUACCGUACUACUCAACUCCUCACUUUGGAGAGACAUGAUCCACGGGUGCAUGCAGGAAGGAAGUGAAGUAUUAGAGGGGUCAGAGGUCAGGGCUUAUUGAGGUUUGAGAGCGGUUAGGGUCUACAGGCUAUCGAAAGAGGAGGGAUUAGGCCCUUGAAGCCUCUAAAUGAGAUUGAGGUCGAACUUGAGCUCGAACAAUCUGUGACUUCAUGUUGAGGAUGAAUGAGGCCGAUGUUCGGGAGGCCCCGGCGGCGGGCGGGUUUCGAAUCGGACGACAUGCACCAAACCAAGAGAGAAGGCGACGUGGAGUCGCAGUCGUCGAAUAUACUCUGACAAAAAAAUACGAGGGAAUAUAAACAAAGCGGAUCCCAGGACAACACUAUUUGGGGCUCAAGGGCAUGAGAUGUGCAUGUGGCUCCAUCUGUCUCUCUCCCUCGCUCCCUUCGCUCAGUGGGAGCAGAACGAGGGAUUUCUGGGACAUUUCCUGUUUGCUAAAUAUACAACCGUCGGGGAAAACCCCCAAAAAAUGUGAAUACAUGUUGGAGGGACAGAGGGCUGUGUGAAGGGUGACGCAGAAGAGACCAAGGGGAACAUAUAUGGAACGUAGAGCAGCAGAAGAGAAAAGAACGGAGGUGAACUGAAUGGAAUGUUAUGAAAAUGGAAAUUAAUAAAAUGGUGGAGAUUAGAAAAAUCAGGUUUAGGUUGAAGGAGUUAAGUCGGGGUCACGUUGUGACCACAUUUAAUACAAGUGUGAAUGCAAUUGUGUUGUCAAUCCACAUGCAAGCAGGCGUUACACGCAAACCCCCCAAAAAAGAUUCUUAUGAACUUCAACAGAGUAAAAACAACGCGUCCGUAUAAGUCGGGAACACGUCACAAAGCUGCGCACGGGCUGUGGAAACAUCUGCACCAGACCUGGGGUCAUCCCUCUCUCUCUGUUACACACACACACACAUAUGCAAACACACUGAAUCAGCCUCCUACACAGCGGCAGUUCCCAUAGCUUGUGAAGUACAGUCAGCGAGCCAGAGGGGUAUGGUCACCAGAUGUCAGGGAGCGUUGCGGACAUGUGGUCGAGGAAAGGUCGAAACACACACACACACACACACACACACACACAAAGGUAAAUACCCUCACAGGCACAAAUAUGUCCUAUGUACACACAGAUAAGUUGUGUGUGUGUGUGUGUGUGUGUGCGUCUGUGUUUGAGAUUCCCUGACUGCACAGAGAUACUGUACAUGUACAGUACACGGACAGAAGCUUAUUCCUCAAAGUGUGUUUUAACCGUUUGCCGUUUGGUUUCACUCACACUCCAGAAAUAAAAUGUGUAGAGUGGAGGGUCAUUCCCACAAUGCUCUGCUGCUCCAAUCACAGUGCCGCUUGCUAAAUUUAAUAAUUGAUAAUCUUUGUGUCCUACAGGCCUAUUUCAGACUGACAAUAUAGAUCUGUGGCAAAUUACACUACUCCAAUAACACAGGCUCCUCAUUCACUCCAUGAGGCAGCGCAAAGUGUGUACUCUGGUAUUCUUUGCUCUGGCUCUUCUGCGACGCACUGCCCAGACAAACACACAGGGACGUCUGUGUGUUUGUCUUUACAGAAAACCCUUGUGAUACUUUUCAUCAAAUUUGACUUUAUCUCUCAAGUGUAGAGAGAUGGACGAUUAUUAUGAUUAAAACUCUCUUUAGAGUUGUACAAUCCUGCCUCAGAGGAGAAUAAAGAGGAGAAUAAAGUGUGUGUGUGUGCGUUUGUGUGUGUGUGUGUGUGUGUGUGUGUGUGUGAUGUCCUGGCAUUAAUCAACUCUUAGCAGUAGCAACAAGUUGGCAUAAACACAUGAACGUGCAUUGUCUGAGCAGAGUUUUCAACUCAUCAUGACUCAAUCACCGGACCAAAACAUUAGAUCACCGGCCGGUCGGUGCCAAGAGUCUUUCUCCUGUUUAGCCUCCAGAGGUCACGGAGUUCCUAUGAGAGAGCACCGGAUUAGUGACUAGGUUCGCAAAUCAAAACAUAAGAUUCAUUAGCCGGAGGGCAUGUCGCCGUCUGUGCCUUGUUUGUUUGUUUGAUGACUAAAAUAAAAAUGGAUGACAUGAA